GAUGAACGCUGGCGGCGUGCCUAAUACAUGCAAGUCGAGCGAACAGACGAGGAGCUUGCUCCUCUGACGUUAGCGGCGGACGGGUGAGUAACACGUGGAUAACCUACCUAUAAGACUGGGAUAACUUCGGGAAACCGGAGCUAAUACCGGAUAAUAUAUUGAACCGCAUGGUUCAAUAGUGAAAGACGGUUUUGCUGUCACUUAUAGAUGGAUCCGCGCCGCAUUAGCUAGUUGGUAAGGUAACGGCUUACCAAGGCAACGAUGCGUAGCCGACCUGAGAGGGUGAUCGGCCACACUGGAAGUGAGACACGGUCCAGACUCCUACGGGAGGCAGCAGUAGGGAAUCUUCCGCAAUGGGCGAAAGCCUGACGGAGCAACGCCGCGUGAGUGAUGAAGGUCUUCGGAUCGUAAAACUCUGUUAUUAGGGAAGAACAAAUGUGUAAGUAACUAUGCACGUCUUGACGGUACCUAAUCAGAAAGCCACGGCUAAUUACGUG
rnacentral:rRNA from 1 species